rnacentral:rRNA from 1 species
GCAUUAUACCGCGAACUGCGAAUGGCUCAUUAAUCAGUUAUCGUUUAUUCCAUACUACCUUACUACUUGGAUAACCGUGGUAAUUCUAGAGCUAAUACAUGCUAAAAACCCCGUCCAGGGGUGUGUUUAUUAGAUUAAAAACCAAUGCCCUCCGGGGCUUUCCUCUGGUGAAUUCCAUGAUAACCUCUUCGGAACCGCCAUUGGCCCUUUGUGCCCGGCGGGUGGUUCAUUCAAAUUUCUGGCCCUAAUCAAACUUUCGAUGGCUGGGUCUUGGCCAGGCCAUGGUGACAACGGGUAACGGAGGGUUAGGGCUCGACCCCGGAGAGGGCGCCCGAGCAACGGCGACCACAUCCAAGGAAGGCAGCAGGCGCGCAAAUUACCCAAUCCCGACUCGGGGAGGUAGUGACAAUAAAUACUGAUGCAGGGCGCUUACGUGUCUUGCAAUUGGAAUGAGUACAAUUUAAAUCCCUUAACGAGGAACAAUUGGAGGGCAAGUCUGGUGCCAGCAGCCGCGGUAAUUCCAGCUCCAAUAGCGUAUAUUAAAGUUGUUGAGGUUAAAAAGCUCGUAGUUGAACCUUGGGCUUGGCUGGCCGGUCCGCCUCACCGCGUGCACUGGUCCGGCCGGGUCUUUUCCUCCGGGGAGCCGCAUGCCCUUUUACCGGGUGUGCCGGGGAACCGGGACGUUUACUCUGAACAAAUUAGAUCGCUUAAAAGAAGGCCUUUGCUUGAAUACAUUAAGCAUGGAAUAAUGAAAUAGGACGUGUGGUUCUAUUUUGUUUUGGGUUUCUAGGACCGCCGUAAUGAUUAAUAGGGACAGUCGGGGGCGUCCGUAUUCAACUGUCAGAGGUGAAAUUCUUGGAUUUAGGUUGAAGACGAACUACUGCGAAAGCAUUCGCCAAGGAUGUUUUCAUUAAUCAGGAACGAAAGUUAGGGGAUCGAAGACGAUCAGAUACCGUCGUAGUCUUAACCAUAAACUAUGCCGAUUAGGGAUCAGGCGGUGUUAUUUUGUGACCCGCUCGGCACCUACGAAAAA